CGAAUCUCUUCUUGGUCGAACCCCAUUUUCCCAUUCACCCGCCGAGCUCCUCAUCUUCGAGCCCUCACGCGAGCACCUCCUUCUCAUGAUUUCCUCCCCAAAUCGUCGCCUGUCCUCAGCACGAAAUUGCGCCGCCGACCCCCUCCUUCCCUCUCCCUCUCACGUGUUCCCGCAACCGUAGCCGUCGAUCACCCAUGCCCUCACGCGAGCACCACAACCACCUCAACACCCGAUUGCGCCGGUGUUGCGCAUCCCGGCGUCAACCGAACCCUAGGUUGGGGGUGAACGACUCUCCAGCCAGUUGCUCCUUCCCCCUCGUGCUUGAUAUCUAAACACCACCGUCGAUCCCGUCUUUGCUGGUCUCCACAACCGUCGCUGGUCUCCACAGCCGCUAGACCUAGUUCCUAGCGGAGAGGAAGCUGUGGACAAAGACUUGGUAGAUGAAUCAAGGAUACUUGAAGAGUCCUAGCUGCCAGUCCCACUACACUCUCGAGGAUGGAUUUCUUUUCAGUCUUGUUUCUGUUCGGUGGUAUAUUGAUUUUGUAUUUUUUUUUUGUUUUUUUUAUAAGUUGAUGUGGGUUUGGAGUCUAGUCCGGUGGUUACAGAAUUUGUGGUUAAUGACUUUGUUAGUUGUACAUUUGUAUUUCUUUGUGAUUUCUGCUGUAUUUAUUUCCAGACGUGUGGGCUAUUAUUAACUGCGUGGUUUUUUUCAUUUUGUCCAACUAGGUAGGUUGAGUAUAUUAACUGCGUGGUUGUUUUUAUUUUUGUUCCAGGUGAGUGGCCUGAAUAUAUAUAACUAUGUGGUUGUGAAUAUAUUCCAGUCGUAUGUGGUUGAUGUAUUUUGUA